rnacentral:rRNA from 1 species
AUUGAACGCUGGCGGCGUGCUUAACACAUGCAAGUCGAUCGGUAACAGGUGUAGCAAUACAUGCUGACGAGAGGCGGACGGGUGAGGAAUAUUUGGGCAUCUGCCCAUCAGCGGGGGACAACCCGGGGAAACCCGGGCUAAUACCGCAUACGCUCUACGGAGGAAAGCCGGGGACCGCAAGGCCUGGCACUGAUGGAUGAGCCCAAAUCGGAUUAGAUAGUUGGCGGGGUAACGGCCCACCAAGGCGACGAACCAUAGCUGGUGUGAGAGGACGAGCAGCCAAACCGGAACCGAGACACGGUCCGGAUUCCUACGGGAGGCAACAGUGGGGAAUAUUGGACAAUGGGGGAAACCCUGAUCCAGCGACGCCGCGUGGGUGAAGAAGGCCUGCGGGUUGUAAAGCCCUUUCGGUAGGGACGAAAGCUCUUGCUCUAACAAAGCAGGAGGUUGGCUUAACCUACAUAAGAAGCACCGGCUAACUCAGUGCCAGCCGCCGCAGUAAUAC